ensembl:lncRNA
GGGAAGAGUGCAGCGUGGCUGUUAAGAGCAUUGCCCAGACUGCCGCUCGCCAGCUUGUCUUUGAGGAGCUGUGCUUUCUGGCUGGGGUUAAGCUGGCAGCACCACAUUUCCUGGAUAGCAUCAUUAUAAUCAGCAAGAGUUCGAGAUGGUAUGGGUAACAAUUCCAUUUAUCACAAUCUUAGAUAAUGUAUGUGAAAGCUCACGAAAUAUUGUGUUUUUUACUACAAAAAUUUAAACCUGAGGGCAGGGCGCCGAGGUAUAAAGACAAGAAAAUCUCCAUCCCUCAGGCCCGCCAUCUCCUCUAGGUCUACUCUCAUGUGAAAAGCCAGCCCCAAACCAAUGAUAAUGUUUGGAGAAGUCGAGGAAAUAAUUAGGCUUGUUUCAAAGAAAAAUUUGGAGAAUGAUGAAAAAGAUGUGUGCUGUUGACUUCUUUUCGAGUCUGUUCUAAUCCUCUCCUUGUUACCUUCUGCCCUAUCCCCUCCCUUCCUUUCCUCCCCUGUUUACACAAGUGCUUUCUUAUCAGUCUGCCGUUCCCAGCUAGAAGGUGAUGAGAGGAACUCGUUUGAAAAUCUCUUCUGCAUUUGUGCGCAUCCUGUCCAAACUAUUGUGUUUGAAAAUGCUUGUGCUAUUUAAUCUAAUUUGCCAUUCUUCAGGAGGCAAAAUAACACGCAAAGCUGUUCACAUAGCACACGGCCAUUGCCGUGGCACCGGCCCUUCGGAAGGCGGCGGGGAACUCAUUUGAAGAAAGGCUUGCUGAGUCUCCACUGUGCGCCAGGCGCCACCUGUGCUGGGUAACGCAGUGAACGGGGAAGGAGGCCGUUGGGUCUUUGCCCUCAAGGAACUGAUGGUCUGGCAGAGGUCGCUGGCUUCAAAUAACUCUAAUGUCGUCUCACCUGGCAUCCUCACCUCUACUUGCGUGGAAUUGCAGUCCUUCAGCCUGGAACCCUCACCCCAUGCUUGGGGAAACAGGCACAGAGAAGCAAUUGCUGUUGUCCACGGCACCUUGGUGGCUCCACUGAUAGUAAUUUCAGUGCUCUGACACUAUUGCUCCUCUUGAGAAGUCUACACACUGUACAAUCCAUCUUCACUUGAAGGCCAGAGGGGCUGGACUAUUCUGUAUUGAUUGAACAUCCACGCUAGAAGACAUUGAAAGACAGAUUCCACAUUCUGAUUGUCAGAUGCCCAUGCGUUGAACACAGUUGUCAGAGGAGAGAGUGGAAAUGAUGAGGCUGCCCUGCCUUUGGGAACCGUAAAAUGCUGUAAGGACCAGAAGGCAUUCACAUCCAUUGUUCAGCUGCUCAGCGUUCAAUCUCUGCUCUGCUCCCUGUUUAAUAACAAUAGUCAAAGUUCCCGCCAUCCAGGAUAAAGAAACUGUUGUGUUUGGUAUCAACCAAAUUUGCACUCAUGAGUUUGGACUUUAUGUGGUUUGAAAUCUGGGUUCAUCCCACUAACGACAUCUUCCAAAUUUCUUGACUUGAACUGAAGCAUUUCCCUUUGAGGGGAAAAGGGAGUCGGCACCUUCAGUGGAGAUAGACGGCUAACCUUGGGGAUGCCCUAGGUGCUAUAAGUGGAUUACAAGACACGUGUUAUUUCUGUUAGUAAGACUCUACUAAAGCAUUGUUUCAGGGCAAAUUCUGGGCAAAGAAGAUAUUUGUGCAGGUUUGGGGACAGUGAUGUUUUUCUAAAAUUUCAGCAGCCAAAAAUCGCUUUGGGUUACACUCAAGGCUCAUCCUCUCCCCUCACCUCUCAGACCAGUUCUAAUCCUCCAGCAUUUCUAAGGGGUGAGCCCUUAGAGAUAGAGGUGGCAAUGCGGGGCCAUGGGGACUGGGGGAACCCCAGGCUUGCAGUAGCCUGUGGACACACAGUGGUUGGGCUCAUCCCAACUCACAGAUGUUGUCAUCCACCUGGUCCCUCUCUGCUGCUAUGUGCCACGAGUUUCUCUUCUUGACACCAGGCUGGACUCAAAGACAUCACGUUUCCAGAUGGAAAGAGAAGACAGAAGCCAUUGAUCUAGUAAACACUGUGGGACAAUGGAGUGAAAUGGAGCUUGUUGGAGUUGAGAACAGACAGCAGAUCAGUCAACACCCUCAAUUUCCAGUUGAGACGAUGAAAGCUGAGAGGAGUAACAUGACUUCCCCAAGGUCACAAGCAUCAUCAUCAUCAUCAUCAUCAUCAAUACUCAAGGAGCGACGCUUGGGUCAUACCCAUGGCUAUCCCUGGUCACAGGAUAAAUUGGAACAAACAGAGCCCCAUGAUUGGAGAAAAGGUCCCUUGGAGCGACAAGGACUGAAGAAGUGAGUGUUUUGGAUAACAGCUGGUAAAAGAGGCCUCAAGCUCCAAAGCGUAGAUCUCAGUUGUAAAGCGCUGUGCCACCUUCGCUGAGGCCGGAAGUAAGAAAACUUUCUACCAAAGGACAGAUGGCUGUGAAUUCUUUUAUGACAAAGUGCUGUUACCGAGCACGGGCUUGCCACCUGAUGCCCACAGAAGCUGACACCGUGGCACCCUGGUUUUUGAGGGAAGAAAGGCUGUGCUGCUAGACGGAUCUGCAAGGUGACAGGAGGCAUACGCUCUCAGAUCUAUCUCCCCAUUCAGGGCUUGGGGCAAAAUUUCUGGGUUGAAAGGCAGUGUGGUCUGAAGUGUGGAGACAGGUGAUUGGAGGGGAGGGGAAGGGAGGUAACUCAUGAUCUGCGCAAGCGUAGUCAGACUUCAUGGCUCCUCGUAGGACCCAUGUUCACAAAAUGGUAGUGUGAGUUUUCAGCCCCUUGACCUCAAAAGGGUCACUUCUCAGGCAUUUGCACGGGCCCAGAUGAUGGACUGGUGGUUCCAGCCGGCCUGAACUCGACAAGGGGGAACUCUCAGAUCCUGAAAAACCACUCUUACUUACUCUGUGGAUAAGAUCGGGUCAGUUGAACUGGUCCUGAGGGCCACGGUUACAGUUCAGUCUGGAAUUUUUUCAUAUUUUGUGAAGGAGAAUAUAAAGCAGAUUGUCAUCUGUGUAAACACAGAACUUCAUGAGGAGAAAAAACUCCAAAAUCAUAUACUAUGACUCUUAAGAUAGAUCCUCUUUGAGCCAAAUAUAUGAAAAAGUAUGUAGAAAAAAAGGUGUAAGAGAGAAAUGACAUAGUCCCAGACACCUUGUUUCUUCCUCCACCUGCCUUGAUUGAAAUUCUAUUUAGCAAACUGUUACUGUUCUUAUAUUAAACUUUUAAGAUUUACUGCUAAAACUUCUAAUGAAAAGAACGUGCAAUUUAUCUUUUAAAUGAUAUUCCAGGCUGACUCUGUAUCUCAGGGGUUCAUCCUAUGGGGCUUCAUCUCUGGCCCUGAGGACUCUCUUCUGUGUCACGGGGGCCUAGACACCUGAGAACUGCACGUCUAGGACCUCCUCCCCAGCUGCUCUCCAGGCACGUCCUGCCAGUAGGAGGCAGUGCAGGGCAUAGGAAUGUGAAGGGGUGAGAGAAGGCUCUGUCAGAUCCUGCUUUUAGCCGUCACAGCGACAGCAGGGGCAGCCCGGCAGCCUCAGGUGUGUGGGGCCUAUGGACUCCUGACUCUGGCAGCAGCAAUGGUGAGGACAGCUGUGGGCUGCUGCAAUGGCGGUGACAGUGACGGCAGAGGCGACUGCAGGCUCCAGCAGCAUCAGUGGGAAAUUGUCUGUCCAGGGACGAUUGGCAAGUGGCUGGCUUUAAUGCUUCAUGUGGGAGAAGUGGGGAAAAUAAGGUUGCAAAAGUCGGAUGCAUCGAGACUUUGGAGAAGCUGACAAUGGGGCAGAGAGCUGUGCUGUCCGUCUGAGGGCGACGCGUGGGAGAGCUGGUGAGCUUCUCCAGUUACACCCAGAACUUAGACAUUCGGAGAUCAAAACGGGAUAUUCAUUUUUUCCCUGUGUGACAUAUUCUUUCACCUCGAAUCUCUUGUUCAUGGAUAGAGACAAGACCAGACUGUGGAAGAGCAGGGACAGACCCGUCUAGUGUCAUUUCCUGUGAGAGAACUUGUAAUACCUCUGUUAAUAAGAAUUCCUUACAUUUUUAUAGCAUUUUGUGAGAACUUCUAGUGUGCGUUAUUUAACUUAUCCUUGCAACAAAACUGCUGGGUAGGUUUAAUUAUGGUCCUGAUUUCACAAAUGAAGAAACGAAUAUUCGGACUGCUACGUGAUUUGCCCAAAGAUACACUGCUGGGGCAGAGCUGGGCUUCAGCCUUGGGGCAUCUGACUCCGUUUUCUUUUCAGUUUUCUCUGACGUAGUGUUUCUCUACCUUUACAAAGGUCUUAUCUCCUAUUUUGAGAAACUCAAAAAUUUCCGCCUCUUCUUUCAUGUUUACUAUAGAUUACUUUCUGAGCCUGUUGUGCUACGAAGAUUUCAUACACUCAUAAAUUUCGAUGUUGAAUAUGUGGAUACAUAAUGCUCAAGAAGGAGGCAGGGCUUCCUCCCUCUGCAGUCUCUGGUUCAGAAACACUGCCUUUUCAUCACAGUGCUGCUCUUUGUUAUUUUAGUUGGUCUUUAUGAUGACAAAAGAGUGCCAAUCCUAUUAUAUCUGAAGUUCCAGUUUUUAGUUACUAAUUUUUAUUCAUUUAUGAGUUAGCUAGAAUACAUCUUCAAGUUACUUUUCAAUAAACAUGGAAGGGAAUAUAUACUUAUAUUCAGAUUUUUGCACAUCUGAAAUGUGUAGAAAAUUCAGAUUGUUGCAUAUCUGAAAGCUCUUUCAUACAUGAGAAAGUGGCUGCUCACAAGUCUUGGAACACAAGCUUCUCCCUCAGAAGUCUCUAUAUGUAGCUGCACUGGCUUCUGGCAUUUAUUUUUGCAGACAAGCAUGAAGUUGUGGAAAUUAAUAAAGAGAAACCUCAUUAAAUUGGAGUCAGGAGGCCAAAAGGGGGAGCUCUCACUCCUUGUAUCUGAGCAGAGUCAAGAAGCUCAGCCCGUGAGAGACUGUCACAACUCAGCCAGCACGAAGCCACUAGGGGUGGUGCGAACUUGCAAUUCCUCCAGCGGACUCUGUUUACAUAGAGCCUCGCUUUCCUCUUCCCGUGUCUUAGAGCUUCUCCUCCUUGCUGCUGGGGGACUUGCCCCUGGCUCGCCAUGGUUGCAGACCCCAAACUGCAAUUCUUUGCUGAUCCCGAAUAAACCCAUUUGUACUGUAGAAAUAACUGGCUGUUUGUUUGUUUAAGGUCAACAAAGUCAACUGGUUUUGUUCCACUUACAUAACUAUUUUUGAUUUAUGCUUUGUUUUUUUUCUGGCUCCAAGGCUUUUUAAUUGUUGCAUAAAAAUUGCAACUAUCUUCUGG